rnacentral:miRNA from 1 species
GAUUUUCCCACUCCCUUUCUAUCCACUUACCCUCCAUUUUUUUAAAAUUGUAUGUUUUCACUCCUCUUUUGUUCACUUACACUCACUUUUAUCUUAUAGUAAAAGUAUUAGAAAAAACAAAAGGGAGUGUAGGUGGAUAAAAAGGGAGUGGGAA